UGACUCUAGUCCGACUUU
rnacentral:snRNA from 1 species